AUAUAUGUGGUGCCUUAAGAGUUAUGCAUGUAUAUGUCUAUCGAAUUCAGAGCAAAUUUCUGCUCAAAGAGAGUACUCCAGAGAGAAGGCCAGCUGUGGUUUUCGUGAAUAGCACACAUGAAAACAAAGACUAGUUGAGUGAGGCCAUUACUCGAGGUCUUGGUUACUGGUCAGUAUGAUGAGCUUAACGUGCAUUAUCUGCAAGAAAGUUGCUUAAGUGUGCAGAAAAAAGGGUACAAGCCAGUAGGGGAAGGACCAGGAGAUUCAAGUGAAAAGGAAAAGGGUGCAAUACUGGUCAGGAUGCAUGCCAAAAGGCUCGAGAUGGAGAAGGAAGGAUUGCUAGGAACGACCAACUACAAACGGGGGGCAAAAGCGACAUUUCACAUGGAAAAGCAACCCUAAAUAUUAGGGCAAGCCACCCUAUAAAUAGAAAGUCACUUGGAGAGAGAAUGAGCACUUGUUCGAAAACUCACUCUCUCGGAUAUUCUUAGUUCCAGCAGCGGAGACUAGCUCCUACACUUCUCGUUCCUCGCCACCAGUCAUGAUCACUUGAAGACUCUGACGACCUGCCAGAGAAAGUUCACCACUGUUCCAGUUCGCCGUCAUUGUAGUGAAAAUACUGUUUUAUCGCCCGAGGGGCCAAACAAUCUUUAAUCGCUUUCUUAGUUUAAUUUCAGUUGUUGUUUCGUUUAGAUCUUUCGUUGUUUUUGGUUGUCUUUGGAUUCUGAAGCGUACCACCGUUUUGGAUCUGAUCUUUAUGAAGUUGAUUUUACUUUUCGUCUA